UAUAUACAUAUUGUUAUGAAUAUUAUUAUGAAAAUUAUAAACAUGAAUAUUUUUAUGGAUAUUGCUUUUAGGUUUUCAAAGAGCAGCUGUAAUAAUCAGUAUCUUCAGCUGUUUCACACUCUGAUCAUCACGUUGUUCUCUUGAGCUCAGUGGUUCUCGGUGGUGUCCCACUCACACAUAACCACUUCCCCUCGUUCCUGUCUGCAGAAUCUCUCAGUUUGAUUAGAGGUGCUUAAAAUGUUGAAGGGAGAGUAAGCUGUCAUGGAGGUUUUUCAAACCAGGGUCCUGCGUCUGAAUUUGUGUGUCAUCCUUACUUUACUGACAAAUGCAGAUUAUUCCAAAUCCAAUCAAGAGCAAAGGAUUCGGCAGCACAUCAACAAAACAGUGUUUGUGGGGGAAACAGUUACACUUCACUGCAACAAAACCCAAUUAGAUGAUGAUUUCACAUGGAAAAUGAACAACUCUGUUAUUUUUAGGCAGGUCUCUGAUAUUAACAUAACUAAGACAAACUUCAGCUCAAACAGGAUUCACAUCGACCCCGCAGCUCCAAGAGAAUUAACAAUACAUCAAAUACAAGCAUCUGAUGCAGGAAACUACAGCUGUUACCCAGCAGCAAUAAGAUGGACAUUAACAAUAACAGAAAACACAACCACAUCAUCACUCAAACAAAUGCCGCUGCACAUCAUCUUCUCUUGUUUUGGAGUCAUUAUGAUCUGUCUGAUCAUCACCAUCAGCAUCUACAUUUACAGGAGCUGUAAAAACAACAAGCAGGGAGUUUCUCACAGAGAAAUGGAACAGGACAUUUCACAGGCACCACCCCGAGGAAGGAUACAGACUCAAAACAGUCAGUACUUAGAACGAUUCAACUCAGUGUAUGGACAAGUAUGA
ensembl:lncRNA